UCAGCUGAUAAAGCUACCUGAAUUUCAAGCAGCUAGCAGGCAGGGAAAAAAAAAAAAUGAUUGUGCUGCCAUUGCACAAUGUAGUAGGCGAAAAGAUUUUUGAUUGCAAUUCUUUACCCUAAGGCUUGUAUUUAUAGUGGGGGAGGAGAAUACUGCACCCAGUUACACUGCCCAGUGUGGUACGCACCUUCUGGGACUAUGGCAGGUGAGCGCCCGUCCCACAUGCCCUCCUGCUGAAGGUUGUGGGUGAAACAUGUUCAGUGAGCUCCAGUAGCAAGGCACCACAUCCCACCAGAUAUGACGGCUUUUCAAAGCCCUUUUUGGGGUGAGUUCUUCGUUUGCCUUUUUUGUGCUUUUUUUUCCAAAAUACUGCUGAGGCAAUAUUACAUCGCCCAGCCCUGCGUACGUGCUGCCACAUUCUGGAAGAUGGAAAACAAAAGCUAAAAGAGGAUGGUUAACCUUUUCUAAUUGUCGCAGUACAGGACUAGUUGCCAGGAGGAACUUGAGUGCUAAUCCUGCUUUACUCACCAUGUGACCUUUGGCUGUCUGUUAGGUUCCAGGAUGAAUCUGAGGUGCUGAUACGCAUCUGUGAAUGUGCAACUUCUCAGAGAGACUGCCAGUCUGCCCCAGAGCCAAGUUUUACAGAGGUGCCACAGCUGGAGUGAGUAAGUCAUUCACGGACUUAGAACUAAGUUGUCCAUCCUGAGAUCAACCGGAAGAAAAUCCCAAAGAAACAACGUGGAAUCCCAUUUAAUGGAGUUACAAAUCCAAACAAACAAAAGUGAAGGGCAGAUUUCUAGGCUGAUGUAAAAAUAAGGCUUCGUGCUGGACCUGCUGCCUUCAUCAGAAUCCAAAACAAUCCUUAUGGUGGUCUCUAUGAUGGUCUUUGAACUGUGUACAAUCUGAUGCCAGCAGACAGAAGCAGACGGAUACCUGAGCACUCAGGAGCAGCCAAAAGUCACUGAGCUUCUUUAUAUAAUUCAAUAAAAGUGAGAGAAACAAAACAAAAGCAAAACCUGACACACACAACAGUCCCUCCUUCUCCAGUUUCAUGGUGAAGCAAGUUCCAACACUGUCAAGCCAAAGAUUAAAUAAAAAGCCAAGGGCAUGCUGCCAUGCAUAUAUUAGACCUGCGUAAAACACUGACAUGCACACCUCACAGAUACAAGGACUGUGAGGUGAGCAGGGGUUUAAGACCCAACAAAGAAGCUGCCUUCUCAUCAGGUUCACUAGGCCUGUAUUUUUAUCCAUUACUUUUCUUUAAUCCUGUCCAUUUUUAAUGGUGGAGCACUAAGCAGCUGACUUUUGCCCGGAGGAGUGCUUUGACAUGGGUCAAUGCAGAAGGAGAGGAUUUGGGAUGGACAUGGUGGCCAGAGGUGGGCAUAGGGCUGCGGUCCCCCAGCUGUGGCCACCAUGAAUCUGUACCCCAGGGAGGCUGGAGCUUGGCUAACCUGGGGCAAGCAUCAGGCUGGUUAAGAAUCAAAAGACAUUUUAGACAGCCCCACAGAGAGCAGCUCUCCCUUGUUUCCAAGCUCAGCUCCUUUCUGUUGCUCUACUGUGUCCUUUUGUACUCUUUUGUGACUCUUCUGGAAUUUAGCUUUGAGAAGCACACACCAGCCAAGGGCCAACAAUGUCCUUUGACCUUCCACUUUGUCUGUGACAGAUUCAUUUUUAACUGGGAAUAAUAAUAAAUGCUGAUGAGGUGCGAGUUUUGACAUUCGUCUGGGAGUGCAGAGGCAUGCAAUUUCUAAUUUUACCAAAAUCCAGAAACGGGUGGAUAUUCUUUCUUUCAUCUGCAAAGUUUUGAAGGGCAGUAAUGCAUUUGAUUUUUUGUAGCUUUCAAAGAGGUUUAUUCUUCAUUGAUUUGCUAGUUGCA